UACAUAAAUAAAUACUACUAUCAUGAGUUUUCUCCCUUUGCUAAUGUCAGCCCUGACUAUAAAUUUUGUUUGGCAGUUUUUCUUUGUAAUAUCCAAUCAACUUGUUUGACUGAACACUGACAAGUGUAGGUGUGCACUUGACUUUAAUAUCAUUUCUAUAAACUAGUACAUCUGUUCUUGUCUGACUAUGUAAAUAAUGGUGAUU